rnacentral:rRNA from 1 species
AUUGAACGCUGGCGGCAUGCUUUACACAUGCAAGUCGAACGGUAACAGGCCGCCAGGUGCUGACGAGUGGCGAACGGGUGCGUAAUGCAUCGGAACGCUCCCAGUCGUGGGGGAUAACUACUCGAAAGAGUAGCUAAUACCGCAUACGAUCUAUGAAUGAAAGCGGGGGACCGUAAGGCCUCGCGCGAUUGGAGCGGCCGAUGUCAGAUUAUGUAGUUGUUGGGGUAAAGGCUCACCAAGCCAACGAUCUGUAGCUGGUCUGAGAGGACGACCAGCCACACUGGGACGGAGACACGGCCCAGACUCCUACGGGAGGCAGCAGUGGGGAAUUUUGGACAAUGGGCGCAAGCCUGAUCCAGCAAUGCCGCGUGCAGGAAGAAGGCCUUCGGGUUGUAAACUGCUUUUGUACGGAACGAAACGGCUCUGGUUAAUACCCGGGGCUAAUGACGGUACCGUAAGAAUAAGCACCGGCUAACUACGUG